rnacentral:rRNA from 1 species
GACGAACGCUGGCGGCGUGCUUAACACAUGCAAGUCGAACGAUGAAGCCCCUCGGGGUGGAUUAGUGGCGAACGGGUGAGGAACACGUGAAGAAUCUGCCCUCCACUUUGGGAUAACUCCGGGAAACCGGGGCUAAUACCGAAUAUUGAAACAUAAGUGGCAUCACUGAGUUUUGGAAGAAUUUCGGUGGAGGAUGACUUCGCGGCCUAUCAGCUUGUUGGUGAGGUAAUGGCUCACCAAGGCGACGACGGGUAGCCGGCCUGAGAGGGCGACCGGCCACACUGGGACUGAGACACGGCCCAGACUCCUACGGGAGGCAGCAGUGGGGAAUAUUGGGCAAUGGACGCAAGUCUGACCCAGCGACGCCGCGUGCGGGAUGAAGGCCUUCGGGUUGUAAACCGCUUUCAGCAGGGAAGAAGCGAAAGUGACGGUACCYGCAAAAGAAGC